rnacentral:lncRNA from 1 species
ACUUCCUGCGGGGUCGCCCGGCCGGCGGCGCGGAAGGUCUCCUGUGCCUGCUCACGGGAGCUGUUUUGUAUUGCUCUUCUGGUGUCCUGGCAUCCCUUUUCCCACCCACGACGCCCACAUUCUGAGAUCCUUUCAUUCCCCCUCCCACCCUUAGCUCCUCAGUUUUUUGCUUUCACUCCCUUCCUGAAGUAGGCACGCACACUUAAGACUAAUAAUCCACCUUUGUUUCUUCUGCUGAACUCACCUCUGUUUUUUUUGUUUGUUUUUCUGUUUUUUGUUUUUUUUGAGAGGGAGUUUCGCUCUUGUUUCCCAGGCUGGAGUGCAAUGGCGCGAUCUCCGCUCACCGCAACCUCCGCCUCCUGGGUUCAAGCGAUUCUCCUGCCUCAGCCUCCCGAGUUGCUGGGAUUACGGGCGCAUGCCACCAGGGCCGGCUAAUUUUGUAUUUUUGGUAGACGGGGUUUCUCCCUGUUGGUCAGGCUGGUCUCAAACUCGCGACCUCAGGUGAUCCGCCCACCUCGGCCUCCCAAAGUGCUGGGAUUACAAGCGUGAGCCACCGCGCCCGGCCUAACUCACCUCUGGUUUUAUUCCACCGAAUUAACAUGGCAGCACCAUCCACCCACUACCGCCUUAACUGGACAAUUGUAGCUCUUAAAGUGCUCCAGCUGUGGCAAUUUAGAAACUGCACUACGCAUUUCUUUUUUCUGUUUUCAGUGCAGUUAGAGUGCAAAUGUAACAAAAUUAAAACCUAACAAUGCAAAAUCUUGGUUCUGAUUCCAGUAUGACCACUAAUUAGUUGAGUGAUUUAGGGCAAAUAAUAGAACUUCUCUGGCCUUUAGUUGCCCAUUCACCCACCAGCGAAUCUUCAUUGCAGUUGGGGAAGAACUAGGUUUCUGGUUCUACUUAGAAGAAUAGUUACUUGGCUUUCGGCUCUGCUCUGAUAAUUCUGUGGCUCUCUUAAGAGUUAAAUCCUGAAAAGUGCAGACUCAAGAGCCAUGUGAUACAAGCAAACUCGUUGCUAGGUGUAUUCUAUAUAUAUAUGCGUUUUUUUCUCUCAGAAAUAACGGAAUCAAUUUCUUUUAAUCACUUUCUCAAUGCAAUUCAUUUUUUCCUGUGUUUUCUUGUCCGGGCAAUAUUGACACUCUCCUCUUUCUCUUAUAUUUUUCUUGUAGUCAACCAUCAGCUGUUACUCUCUUUUUGUUGUCCAUAAUGGAAAUAAAAUAUGUUUUUAAAUAUGUGUGGCAUCUGUAUGGGUGUCCGUGUUAUUAACAAGGUGGGCAUAAUGCCAUUUUCUGCCAGCUUGAAAAAAAAGUCACUCAGAGUAAAAUGGAUUUUUAUUUUCUUGUGGUCUUGAAUUAUGUCCUUGUAACCAAUAGGCCUGUAUUCCUUGUCUGGGAUCAAAGUUCUUUCAUCCUAUUUUCUCUAUUAAUCUUUCAUUAGCAGAAUAGGUUUAUUGAUAUGGCAUCCUUAGCUGUACUCUACUUCUAACUCAAGACUCUCCAUCCUGGCUGCUUAUUAGAAUUCUCUAAGGAGCUUUUUAAAAAAUACCGAUGCCUGGGUCUACCUCAGACCAAUUAAAUCGGAAUCACUCCAGUGGAACCUGGGCUUCUAGUUUUUAAAAGCUCCCCAGGGAAUUCUAAUGGGCAGCCAGGGUGAGAACAACUGUUUCUCACUAAAAUGAUCUUAGUUAAAUCUUGCUUCGUUAUUUUAAUUGGGUAAAUUGUAUUUUUUUCAGUGGCCUGGGCUCAACCAUUUAAGGCUAAAAACCUUGAAGUAUUUCUUCUCUUUUUCUGCCUUGGUUUAAUAUCUUAUUUUAAGAUAAUUGAGGCCCAGUGUAGGACAUCAGAUUAGAGUUGUAAAUGUGACCACUUUAAUAUGUUACUUUUAUUAAUAGGUUGUUACUUAGUGUAUACUUUUGCCAUUCUUUCUUUCCUCAAAAUGUCACCUUUUCCUUUUAAAUACAUUCAUUCCUUCACCCAAUUUUCAAUUCACUUCCUUAUGGUCUCUUUUAAGAAAAUUCUGAAUAUAAGUUUCACUGGUUCUACCUCCAAAAUAUAUCUUGAAUCCAUCUGCUUUUCUCCAUUUCUAUUGUCAACACCCUAGUCUAAUCUUCCAUAUUGACUUGCCUGAAAAUUAGUCUCCUAAGGGAUCGCUCAGCUUCUAAUCUCAACCCUAUCUAAUCCCUUCUCUACAUAGCUGAAAGAAUAAGCUUUUAUAAAACCCAUUGGGCCAUGUCAUUCUUCAGUAACUUCCCGUGUUAGUUAAUGGAACAAUUCAGUAACUUCAGGUAACUUCCCAUCUCAUCUCAUACCAUUUUUCCCAACUCUUCAUUGGGCUCAAGAUAUACUGGUUUCUAAUAACACAUUUCUUUCCUGUGUCAGGUCGUCAUGCAUACUCUUCUGGUGCUGAGAAAAUUGUUUUUCUCCUUAGCACUUCACUUUAGUGGCUUCUCAUCCUUCAUGUCUCAACUUAAAUGUUACCUCAUGAAAAAGGCCUUUCCUGGCUUCCUUAAAUAAUAUUUUCAAACCCAAGACACUAUUUUGUUCCCUCCCAGCAUUCAUUAUUAUCUGUAUGUAUUUAAUUAAUUUAUUUGUUUUCUAUACAAUAUCAACUCCAGGAGACUUGGACUUUUGUAUUCCCACUAUUGCAGUCCUUAGCACUACAACAGAAGCUGGCACAUAGAAAGUGCUCAAUAAAUAGUCUUGAACAAAGUCUAUUGUGGAUGUAGAGAGUUUUGCUUCAUUAGUUCAAUGUGACAAUGUGACUUGGUAAACUCUGAGAUAGAUCCAGAUAUAGAUAGAAUGUGGAAUGCUCCCAGAAAUGAGAAUAGUAUAAAUUUUAAAUACUGUUAAUGCUUCUAGAUAGAAUAGUGGUAAGCACCAAACAUUAUCCCUAGAGCAGAUUAAAAAAGGUCUGUGGCACUUUCCUUUCCUGCCCUUUUAUUUGAUAUAGAGAAGGAGUUCUUUACUGAUCUUUUGUACCACAGUGAGAUGUUUUAAGUAGGAAAGGGACCUAGAUCAUAGCCCUUCCCUAAGCCGUGCGGCUCAGCAGCAAACCACCUGCAUGGGAGAAGAGUUGGAGUUCUGCUGGCAGAGCAUUCUUAGUAUUUUCAUUUCAGCGAUCUGCUUGCCACGUCUAUUCAAUGCUCAAACCCAGUUUUUCAAACAAAUGAUCUUGAAAUUUUAAUUUAGUGCAACUUGACCACCAUUAAGAAGAAAUAAUAGAUCAGAAAAUACUAAAUGUGUCAAAUGAGUAAAGGUGGGUAUUAUUUCAUAAAACUUGUUUCGUGGCUCACACCUGUAAUCCUGGCACUUUGGGAGGCCGAGGCAGGCAGAUCACGAGGUCAGAAGUUCGAGACCAUCCUGGCCAACAUGGUGAAACCCUGUCUCUACUAAAAAUACAAAAAUUAGCUGGGCAUGGUGGCACGCGCCUGUAGUCCCAGCUACUCAGGAAGCUGAGGCAGGAGAAUCGCUUGAACCCGGAAGGCAGACGUUGCAGUGAGCAGAGAUUGUGCCACUGCACUCCAGCCUGGUGAAAGAGCGAGACUCCGUCUAAAAAAAGUACUGUAUGUAUAUUUCUUGCUUCAGGUUAUGGUUAAAAGUUUGAAAUAUACAGCUUACUGUUCUCCAAAAACACUAUGAAUUUUGGGACUUCUGUACUUUUGCUUUGCGUGCCUCUACUCUUCCCUCCUCUCACUCAUCUUUUUAGCUAAUGCUCAAAUGAUGUUUUUUCAGCCAGUCUAUGGCCCUUUAAUACAUAUAACUCUUUUUGCACUUGUAUCAUUGUAUCAGAACUAUUUAUAUAUCUGGCUUUGGACUGUGGACAUUUGAACACCAAGAUUUUGUAUUUUUCAUUUUUAUGCUGAGAACCUAGUGCAUUGUGCUGGAAUCUGGACCUUUCCAUAUUCCAGAUUGUUGCUCCCAAGUAUACUGAGGUUCACAGAUGUGCUUUGGAUGACUGGGAGAAUCAUGAUCUCUUUUCUGUAUCAAACACACUCAUUUAUUUGUUCAACCAUUCAUUUAUUCAACAGGCAUUCUGGACUUUUAUCAUUCUAGAAAUAAGGAAUAAAGUAAACAAAAAGCAAACAUUCUUAUCUCUGAGGAACUUAUAUUUUUGUGUUAAUGUUAUGUUAUCUAUUAUUAUUAUGCUUUUUUACUAGCAAUUUAUUAUACCACUUUUAAGUCUCAACUCUCAUGUAUUAUUUUAUCUUGGAUGUGCUGAUGUGAUAUUCUCCCACAAAUAUUUAUUUCUAAAUUUCUUUCCCUUUUUAAUUCAAAGGUAUAUUAUUUAAAAAUAUUUUUUAAAGCCUAGUGUAAGGAUUGAAGAUAGUUCUUUCAGGAUUUCAAAAAUUCACUGUAAUUCUCAAAGUGUGUUGAGGAAGGGUAAAGGAGCAAUGGCAUGAAAAAUGUUAUAACUGUCUCUUUGAUAUGAAUAUUCGUUAAAUGAUGUAGUUCUUGCCAUUCUGCAGUUACUUGGAAGCUGCCAGCAUAGAAAGAAGUACUACUGUUAAAAAAAAUUUAUAUAAAAUAAAGACACAAGUGGUGACUUUUAUGUCUAAACAAAUUGGAACAUCAAACAUAGAAAGCCUAGGUAUAUGUUAUUAUCUUGAUAUGUAUAGUGUCUUUUAGAUCCGUGGUGUAUUGGCCCAGCUAUUAAACCCCAUACUGAAACAGAUGAAUAGCAAAUUCACAGCUUCUUGAUGAUAUUAUUAUGAGUGGGUGUAAUUCUUUAAGAAAAGUUUGUAUUGAAUUGUUUAGGUAGUAUAAACAAGGAUAUUAUACACUUAAUUAAUAAUUAUCAAUUCAGUUUCUAUUUAUUGAGCCCUCUUAAAAUACAGAAUAUUGAACUGUAACAACUUCAGGUAUAAAUAUUGAUUAUGACAUUUUAACAAUUUCUACUAUAAAUCAGGCCAACCAUAAUAAAAAUAGUAAAGAAAAAUGUGAAUGUAAAUUAUAAUGUGGGGAAAAGUUAUGUCUCAGUGCAUCCAUGGAAAUGUACACCUGCUUACCUACCUAAGGCAUAAUGAGAAUCGGGUAGCUUAAUGAAAUUCAGAUAUUAAGCCUAAUGAAUAUCAUUUAAUAGAACUUCUGUCUCUUUUUUAUUCUUUUGUGCAAACCUUUAACAUGAAAGAAAGCCAGCUAUUGGCUUUUUUUUGCUGUGUCAUGCUUUUUUAUUUUCUAACUUUUAUGGGUACAUAUUAGGUGUAUAUAAUUAUGAAGUACAUAUGAUUUCUUUUAAAUUUAAUUUAAUUUUAUAUUAAGUUCCAGGAUACAUGUGCAGGAUGUGCAGGUUUGUUACAUAGGUAAACAUGUGUUGUGGUGGUUUGCUGCACCUAUCAACCCAUCACCUAGGUAUUAAGGCCCACAAGCAUUAGCUAUUUAUCCUGAUGCUCUCCCUCCCCCUGUUCCUCUGAAAGGCCCCAGUGUGUGUUGUUCCCCUCCCUGUGUCCCUGUGUUCUCAUUGUUAACUUCCAAUUAUAAGUGAGAACAUGUGACGUUUGGUUUUCUGUUCCUGUAUUAGUUUGUUGAGGAUAAUGGCUUCUAUCUCCAUCCAUUUCCCUGCAAAGGACAUGAUCUCUUUCCUUUUUAUGGCUGCAUAGUAUUCCAUGGUGUAUAUGUACCACAGACGACAUGAACCUAUAUCUAGAAAACCCCAUAGUCUCUGCCCAAAACCUCCUUAAGAUAAGCAACUUCAGCAAAGUCUCAGGAUACAAAAUCAAUGUGCAAAAAGCACAGGCAUUCCUAUACACCAACAAUAGACAAGCAGAGUCAAAUCAUAAAUGAACUCCCAUUCACAUCUGCUACAAAGAGAAUAAAAUACCUAGGAAUAUAGCUAAGAAGGGAAGCGAAGGACCUCUUCAAGGAGAACUACAAACCACUGCCCAAGGAAAUAGGAGAGGACACAAACAAAUGGAAAAACAUUCCAUUUUCAUGGAUAGGAAGAAUCACUAUUGUGAAAAUGACCAUACUGCGCCAAAGUAAUUUGAGAUUCAAUGCUAUUCCCAUUAAACUACCAUUGACAUUCUUCACAGAAUUAGAAAAAACUACUUUAAAAAUCAUACAGAACCAAAAAAGAGCCCAUAUAGCCAAGACAAUCCUAAGCAAAAAACAAAGCUGGAGGCAUCAUGCUACUCAACUUCAAACUAUACUUACUACAAGGCUACAGUAAACAAAAAAAGCAUGGUACUGGUAUAAAAACAGACACAUAGACCAAUAGAACAGAAUAGAGAUCUUACAAAUAAGGCCACACAUCUGCAACCAUCUGACAUUCAACAAACCUGAUGAAAAGAAGCAAUGGGAAAAGGAUUCCCUAUUUAAUGAAUUGUGCUGGCAAAAUUGACUAGUCAUAUUGAAAAAGUGAAAAUUGAAACUGGAUCCCUUACUUAUACCUUCUACAAAUAUUAACUCAAGAUGGAUUAAAGACUUAAAUGUCAAACCCAAAACUAUAAAAACCCUAGAAGAAAAUGUAGGCAAUACCAUUCAGGACAUAGGCACAGGCAAAGACUUCAUGACAAAAACAUCAAAAGCAAUUGCAACAAAAGCAAAAAUUGACAAAUGAGAUCUAAUUAAACUAAAGAGCUUCUGCAAAGCAAAAGAAACUAUCAUCAGAGUGAACAGGCACCCUACAGAAUAGGAGAAAAAUUUUGCAAUCUAUCCAUCUGACAAAGGUCUAAUAUUUGGCUUCUACCAAGAACUUAAACAAAUUUACAAGAAUAAAUAAACAACCCCAUUAAAAAGUGGGCAAAGGACAUGAACACACACUUCUCAAAAGAAGACAUUUGGCUGGGCGUGGUGGCUCACGCCUGUAAUCCCAGCACUUUGGGAGGCCGAGGAGGGGGGAACACCAGGUCAGGAGAUCGAGACCAUCCUAGCUAACAUGGUGAAACCCCAUCUCUACUAAAAAUACAAAAAAUUAGCCAGGUGUGGUGGUGGGCACCUGUAGUCCCAGCAACUCAGGAGGCUGAGGCAGGAGAAUGGCAUGAUCUCAGGAGGCGGAGCUUGCAGUGAGCAGAGAUAGUGCCAUUGCACUCCAGCCUGGGCGACAGAGCGAGACUCUGCCUCAAAAAAAAAAAAAAAAAAAAAAAAAAACCAGACAUUUAUGCAGCCAAUGGACACGUGAAAAAAAGCUCAAUGUAGUUACAUUACAUUGUGAUCAUUACAGACAUGGAAAUUGAAACCACAAUGAGAUACCAUCGUACGCCAGUCAGAAUCCUAUUAUUAAAGUCAAGAAACAACAGAUGCUGGCGAGGCUGCAGAAAAAUAGUAAUGCUUUUCCACUGUUUAUGGGAAUGUAAAUUAGUUCAACCAUUGUGGAAGACAGUGGCGAUUCCUCAAAGACCUAGAACCAGAAAUGCCAUUUGAUCCAGCAAUCCCAUUACUGAGUAUAUACUCAAAGGAGUAGAAAUCAUUCAGUUUUAAAGAUACAUGCACAUGUAUGUUCACUGCAGCACUAUUCACAAUAACAAAGACAUGGAAUCAACUCAAAUGCCCAUUAAUGAUAGACUGGACAACUAUUGGUCUUUAUCAGAUUCUUAUGUUCUCAUAGUAGUUUGCUACUGAUGGCAUUUGAAGUGCAUGGAAAUAAUUAUACUCACAUUAUACUCACGGUAGUCUGGUGGUUCUCAAAGUGUGGUCUCUAGACCAAUAGCAGCAGCAUCACCUGAGAAAUUGUUAGAAUUACAAAAUUUUGGACCCCAUCCUAGAUCUAAUGAAUUGGAAUCUUUGGGGAAGAGAAUCUGCAGUCUUCCUUCUUAAUAGGCUUUCAGGUGAUUCUGAUGCACACUGAAAUUUGAGAACCACUACCUACCUAGAUAGUUUGAAGAGUACAAGAACCAAUGUGAGGCCAUGUAGAGUUUAUGGAAUGGAGCAUCUAUUAUUUUUUUCUACUGCUGUAUAACAAAUUACUACAAAUUCAGUUAGCAUCUUAAAACAAUAUGAUUUUUAUUUUUAUUUUUAUUUAUUUAUUUUUUUGAUCUCACAGAGGCAAUGGGUCAGAAGUUCAGGCACAGCUUAGGUGUGUCCUCUCAAAGCUGCAAUCAAGUUGUUGACCUGGCAGCCUUCCUUUCUGGAGCUCAAAUUAUCUUCCAAGCUCAUGUGAUUGUUGUUGGCAGAGCUCAGUUCCUUGCAUUUGUAGGACUGAGGUUCCCCUUUUCUUCCUGAUUGUCAGAUGGGGGCUACUUGCAGUUCCUUGAAGCUGCUGGCAGUUCCUUGCUAUGUGGUCCUCUCCCAGACUCUUUCACAACAUAGCAGCUUACUUCUUCAAGGCCAAGAGGAGAAGCUUUCCUAUUUCAGGAAGGUUCCUGGUCCAAGUCCACACUCCCUCCUACAAGAUAAUUUUGAUUAACUCAAAUUCCACUAAUAUGGGACCUCAUUUAUAUCCAUAAAAUAAUAUUUUCAGCUGGAGAAAUGACUGAGGAUAGAGACUAAUGGUAUAUUCCCACCAAAGCUUGAUAAACUUAAAAUAUCUGCCAAGAAAUCUAUGUCUCAGAAGAAUAUGUGUCUGGCUCAUGGCAUGUAGAGAUGGAGGCAGGACAAUAUGGUCUGGAGGCAGGGAACCUAAGGACUUCCUAGAACUAAAUCAAACUGAAAAACCCCAACUUUCUAAGCCCAAGUAAAUGACAUUGUAACUUCACUUCAGCCUCUUCAUUUGCAAAGGGUGUACACCAAGUAAAUAACUUUGUAACUUCACUUCAGCCUCUUCAUUUACAUGGGGUGUACACCAAGUAACCAAUGGAAUACCUCUAGAGGGUAUUUAAAUCCCUGAAAAUUCUGUAACCAGCACUCUUGAGCUGCUUACUGGAGCCUGCUCCCACUCUGUGGAGUGUACUCGUUUCAAUAAAUCUGUGCUUUUCUUUCCUUGCUUUAUUUGUGCAUUUUGUCCCAUUCUUUGUUCAAGAUGCUGAGAACUUUGACACCCUCUACUGGUAACAGAAAUGACUGGGUCAAAUAGACAAAAAACAAAGUUUUGAACAAGCUGUAUGUACUCUACAUCUGAGCAGAAAAUUUUAAUACAGCUGCAUAGUUUGCCUCUGUCACCCUUGAGUUUCUAAACUCUGCCAUAUGAAAAGCAUGCCACAAAUAGUAGCUACUUUUCUAGCCUGGGUCACAGAAAGGAGAUUCCUGGAAUGAAGUGAAACUGAGCUGAGCCUAAGUGAACCCAGGAGAACAUAGCAGGCCACGGUUCUCAUGUAAUGGAAGCAAGGAACAAAAUACAUUUUGUUGUGAACACCGAGAUAUUGGGGUUGUUACGAUAGCAAAAACAAAUCUGAGAAAUAAUAAACAUACAGAAUGAAUUAUUGAAACUGACCCAAUAGUCUCAUCAAUAGAUAGGUUUUGUUUGCUUUUUUGUUUUUGAUAAACAUAGAAAUUGACCCAUCUGGUCUUAAGGCUUGAAACUUAUAUUUAAUUUAUCUGAGUUCCUUCCUCAGGAAAUGACCUUCAGGCUUCUAAAAAAAGAAAGUAUCAAAGAACUGAAACUCACCAGAUCACCAGUCCAGGCAAUGAGAUGCCAGACCCCUCAUUCACCGUGAUUGCUUCCUUACCCCUCCUCCUACUUGUUUUCUUACACAUUAUUACAUUUCUUCCCUGCUAUCUAAACCCCUAAUUUUAGUGGGUCAGGGAGAUGGAUUUAAGACUGAUCUCGGCUGCAGCACCAAAUUAAAGCCUUCUUCCUUGGCAAUAAUCCUCUCAGUGAUUGGCUUUCUGUGCAGCAGGACCUACACUGGACCUAGACUGAACCCUGGGUAUUUCAGUAACAUCGUUAUUGUGGAAUUAUUACCCAAGUCACUACAUAAAACAUUACUAACACUAGAGUCCUCCCUAUGUCCUUCCAAUCCUAUACUUUCCAUCUUUCCCAAAAGUAAGUAUUCUAAAUACUACAAAAUAUUUGGUGACCUGGUUUGAACUUCAUAUAACUGGAAUAAUAGAGUAUAUGCUCCUGAGAGUCAUCUAUGUGACUAUGUAUGGCUUUUUUUUUCACUUUCUGUGGUUUAUUUUAAAUUAUGAAUAUACCAUAGUUUAUUUAACUGUGUUUCUGUUGUUGCACAGUUCCUCUUAAAUAAAAAUUAUCAUUCCUGUCAG